UACGAAGGGGGCUAGCGUUGCUCGGAUUGACUGGGCGUAAAGGGCGCGUAGGCGGUUCGUACAGUCAGACGUGAAAUUCCUGGGCUCAACCUGGGGGCUGCGUUUGAUACGUGCGGACUUGAGUGCGGAAGAGGGUCGUGGAAUUCCCAGUGUAGAGGUGAAAUUCGUAGAUAUUGGGAAGAACACCGGUGGCGAAGGCGGCGACCUGGUCCGGGACUGACGCUGAGGCGCGAAAGCGUGGGGAGCAAACAGG
rnacentral:rRNA from 1 species